UACAGAGGGGGCAAGCGUUGUUCGGAAUUACUGGGCGUAAAGGGCGCGUAGGCGGCCUUCUAAGUCGAACGUGAAAUCCCCGGGCUCAACCCGGGAACUGCGUCCGAUACUGGAAGGCUUGAAUCCGGGAGAGGGAUGCGGAAUUCCAGGUGUAGCGGUGAAAUGCGUAGAUAUCUGGAGGAACACCGGUGGCGAAGGCGGCGUUCUGGACUGCAACUGACACUGAAAAACGAAAGCCAGGGGAGCAAACGGG
rnacentral:rRNA from 1 species